rnacentral:rRNA from 1 species
AAUAUUGGACAAUGGGGGCAACCCUGAUCCAGCCAUGCCGCGUGUGUGAAGAAGGACUUCGGAUUGUAAAGCACUUUAAGUUGAGAGGAAGGGCUUGAGAUUAAUACCCUGAAGUUUUGAUGAUACUAACAGAAUAAGAACCUGCUAAAUCCUUGUCAGCAGCCGAGGGAAUACAGAGGGUGCAAGCUUUAAUCGGAAUUACUGGGUGUAAAGAGCGCGUAGGUGGGUCAGUAAGAUUUGUUGGAAAUCCCCGGGCUUAACCUGGGAACUGCUUUCAUAACUGCUGAGCUAGAGUACGGUAGAGAGUAGUAGAAUUUCCUGUGUAGCGGUGAAAUGCGUAGAUAUAGGAAGGAACACCAGUGGCGAAGGCGACUACCUGGACUGAUACUAACACUGAGGUGCGAAAGCGUGGGGAGCAAAC